GACCUACGGGGGGCAGCAGUGAGGAAUAUUGGUCAAUGGACGCAAGUCUGAACCAGCCAUGCCGCGUGCAGGAAGAAGGCUUUCGGGUUGUAAACUUCUUUUAAGAGGGAAGAGCAGAAGACGGUACCUCUUGAAUAAGCUCCGGCUAACUACGUGCCAGCAGCCGCGGUAAUACGUAGGGAGCGAGCGUUGUCCGGAUUUACUGGGUGUAAAGGGCGUGCAGCCGGGAGUACAAGUCAGAUGUGAAAUCCCGCGGCUCAACCGCGGAACUGCAUUUGAAACUGUAUUUCUUGAGUACUGGAGAG
rnacentral:rRNA from 1 species